UGCCCAUUUUAUUUCGAAUCUGGCGCAAACCGGCGAGACAGUUCCUGAAUCAGUCACAUGGUACGGACUGCCCGCGAGGCCUCGAACGUCACUGCAUACGUAAUCAAAGCGAGCCUCGAUACGCGCUUCACAAAAACACCCCCGACAUUACCCGACACACGAUUCGACGCUUCAACACACAGGACACAUCACUACUGAUCGUGUAUGCCCGCGGGGGUCAGUGUUGACGGUUGCUUCUGUUAUUGUCCUGCAGGUGGAACGAGGGACCAGAAGGACAGCACGCACAGGGUGUGAAGGAACUUGACAGCGGGGAGCACGAGCGCGGACGUCGGAGGGGAACACACACACGGGAGUCUAGGGAGCAAAGGGGAUUUUGUGUGCAUCUGUUAUUUACCUCACUUUAAACAAACGCACUGUUUUCACUAAAGAGUCCAGCUUUCGGGUCCUCCUUCCCCACAUCCCGUGACAUUAGCAGCAUAUUAGUCAGCUUAGAACACGCAGGUUCUAAGGGAUUCAGGGAUUUAAAAAUAGAUACGCAAAAUGGGGCGUGCCCGUUCCGGCCGGCUUUAAAGGGUUAAAGUGAAACGGCAACAUUUUACUCCUCCCCUCACGUCACUCAAAUGCAACAAAGCAGGAAACAUGAUGUUUUUCUUCCUCAGUAGGGAGGAAGAAAAACGCACAGAGAGAUGCACAGACGAUCAGACUGAGUUCAGACCAAACUAGCAGCUUCCUCUGAGUGAGUCCAGCUACAGGAGAGAAAAGUGGAAAACUCCAACACUGCUGCUUCAAGCUGCUGACGCUCCACACACUGAAUCUUCACUCACAGACUCAAUGGCUUCCAGAUCAGAGGAGGAUCUCUGCUGUACAGUCUGUAUGGAGGUCUUCAGAGAUCCUGUUAUUCUGUCAUGUAGCCACAGCUUCUGUAAAGACUGUCUGAAGAGAUGGUGGAAAGAGAGACCAACACACGAGUGUCCACUUUGUAAGAGAAGAUCUUCAAAGAAGCAUCCACCUUCAAACAAGGCUUUAAAGAACUUGUGUGAGUCGUUCUUACAGGAAAGAUAUCAGAGAGCUUCAGAGGCUCUCUGCAGUCUGCACUCUGAGAAACUCAAACUCUUCUGUCUGGACCAUCAGCAGCCAGUGUGUGUCGUCUGCAGAGACUCAGAAAAUCACACCAAUCACAGAUUCAGACCCAUCGAUGAAGUUGCACAACAACACAAGAAACUUCAGGAAACUCUGGAGCCCUUAAAGAAGAAGUUAAAGGUUUGCAAACGAGUUCAAGUGAAGUUUGGUCAAACAGCAGAACACAUUAAGGUCCAGGCCCGACACACAGAGAGGCAGAUUAAGGAGCAGUUUAAGAAGCUUCACCAGUUUCUAGCAGAGGAAGAGGAGGCCAGGCUGGCUGCACUGAGGGAGGAAGAGGAGCAGAAGAGUGGGAUGAUGAAGGAGAAGAUGGAGGCUCUGAGCAGAGAGAUAGCAGCUCUUUCAGACACAGUCAGAGCCACAGAGGAGGAGCUGAGAGCUGAAGACGUCUCAUUCCUGCACAACUACAAGGCUGCAGUGGAAAGAGUCCAGCGCUGCCCCCUGCUGGAUGAUCCACAGCUGCCCUCAGGAGCUCUGAUAGACCAGGCCAAACACCUGGGCAACCUGACCUUCAACAUCUGGAACAACAUGAAGGACAUGGUCUCCUACACUCCUCUCAUUCUGGACCCAAACACUGCUGAUCCAGACCUCAUCCUGUCUGAAGAUCUGACCAGUGUGAGAGGAGGAGAGAGGCAGCAGCUUCCUGAUAAUCCAGAGAGGUUUGAUCAUUCCUGCUCUGUCCUGGGCUCUGAGGGCUUUAACUCAGGGACUCACAGCUGGGAUGUUGAUGUUGGAGACAGUACACCAUGGGGACUGGGUGUGUUAGCAGAGUCUGUGCAGAGGAAGGGAGAGAUAUGGUCUGGAUUAUGGAAAAUAUGGUUUGAUGAAGGUGAAUACUCAGCAUGGUCACCACCAGGUCCUCUCACUGAUCUCUCAUUCCAGAAGAAGCUCCAGAGGAUCAGAGUGAAUCUGGACUGGAACAGAGGAAAGCUGUCGUUCUCUGAUCCUGAUACUAACACACACAUACACACCUUCACACACACUUUCACUCAAAGGAUGUUUCCAUACAUUAGCACUGUUGAUGAAGUGAAGGUGUUGCCCAUGAAGGUGUCAGUGUCAGUGGAGCAGAUGAGUUGAGGAUGAUGAUAUUUCUAAUGUUGUUUCCUGUCAGUGAAUUGAAGCUGUUAAACUGCAGCUGUCCUCCUGCUGCCUCGUUGUUCCAAAGCUCUUUGUUUCUCUUUUAGUUCUCACUGUUUCUUUCUGUUUCUGCUGUCCACCUUUUCACAUGGAAAAUCAUUUCACUGUUUCUCACUGAAUGACUCCCCAAACUAGAUCUGAAAUUCUAUCAAGUUUCUAAUCAUUACAAGUGAUUCAUGUUUCUAUUUGAUGUGUGUAAAUGGAGAUGAGUUAGUUUGCUGGGAUAUGGACUGACAUGUGUUGAAUGGGAGGAGCAGUUUGUUGUUGUCUUCUUGUCUGUUUAUGACAACAAUAAAUAUGUUGUUGAAACAAUGAUUCAUGUUUAACUCCAUAUAUGAAAUGUUUCUGAUAUUUGAAUUCUGUUUGAUUAAAGACUUUCUUCAUGACACAAAUGAGAUUUCAGUGUAUUAAUAGAACUAAAUAAGCUCAGAGUUGAAAGGCUGGAGUAUUAUGUACGUGCUUCACUGUCAGUAUCUUCAGGGGGAUUCAAAGGGAAACAUCAAACUGCUGUAAUGAGAUAAACUAGUUGGGCUGAACACACUUAUCUGUAGUUUGUCUCCAUCCAGGAUCAUCAGAAUAUAAUGAACAUGUGUGAAGAGC